CCUUCGUUUCCACUUACCGCAGAUUCGCAUAGGCUACACACACACUGGCGUAUAUUCCCUCAUCCAUACACCCAAACCACGCACCCGCGCGGCGCUGCGGAGCGAUGCGCCCGCGAUGCGCCCUCUCCCGCGCCUCACCGAUCAGUCUCUAGGCCCAUAUCGAUUCAUUUUUCAUAAUCCUGAUAUGCAGAUCCAAAUUCGCCGUGGCAGCGUCGGUCGGAGCUGAGAGGGCGAGAGGUAGAGAGGGGGAGAGAUGAGAGGACGCGCAUCAUCAGAUGUUUAGCAGAUUAACUUUGGAUCUUCGCCACCAUCUCUGCUGUGCGUUUUUUGGUCUUCUUCCUCCUCUCCACCUACCCGGUUCCUGACGUUGCGCGGCUCUCCAUGCUGUAAUCCGAGGGAAUAUGUGAAGAUCAUGCUGGCGGUGUGGUGCUUCAUGCUCUUUGCUGCAGUGGGCGAGAGGCUUGCAGUCUCAGGUGUGGACAGAAGCGCACUGCAGGAUGGAGACAUGUGGGACUGGUUUGCCCCACCAGGCCGGCUGGACGCUGGAGACUCUGAGAUCACUUUUCCGAAGCGGCUGGUGCAGCAAAUUGAGUCAGAGGAGGAAAUGGCUCAUGACUUCUUAGACACCCGGGUGAAGAACAGCAGCAAAGACAGCACGCCUGUCCACUUGGCCCAGAGUUGUUUUCAAGUAGAAGCCUUCGGACUCACCUUCACUUUAGACCUGGAACUAAACCAUCACCUUCUGUCCUCGGAUUACGUGGAGCGGCGCUUCAACCAUAAAGGCAGACCAUUACAAUCUGCGGGUGGGGAGCACUGCUACUACCAGGGAAGGUUAAGAGGUUUAUCUGGAUCCUGGGCGGCUGUGUCCACCUGCCACGGUCUGUGCGGCAUGUUCUCUGACGGCCUUUUCUCUUACGGGAUUGAGCCCAUUCACAAUUCCAGUAAUCAGGUUGAUGGUGCUCACUUAAUACGUAGGAUGCAGGAUAUCAGAUUGACCCCACAUUGCACAGACUGCAGAGAGGAGGGCGAACCGGACAGCAGAGGAGGUGAUGAAGGCCACGACAGAACAAGGGAGCAGCAGGGGUCUGCUGGGCUGAAAAGAUCCAAGAGAUUUGUUCAAAGGCGCUCCGUCCAGACCGAGACCAAAUUCAUUGAGUUGAUGGUGGUCAACGACAAUGACAUGUUUGUGCAGCUGCGUAGCUCCAGUAGCCAAACCAAGAACUUUGCCAAAGCUGUGGUCAACACAGCCGACACAAUCUUUCAGGAACAGCUCAACACCAGGAUCGUGUUGGUCGCCAUGGAGACGUGGACCACUAAAAAUAUGAUGGCCGUUGUUGAAGAUCCCUUGGUAACACUGCAGAACUUCAUGAAGUACCGAAAGGACAACAUCCGGGAGCAGAGUGAUGUCGUCCAUCUUUUUUCAGGGCGCACAUUUCACAGCAGCCGCAGUGGGACAGCUUACACCGGAGGGGUGUGCUCUCCAACGAGAGGAGGGGGCAUCAACGAGUAUGGAAGCGUGGGUGUAAUGGCCAUCACUCUGUGUCAGAGUCUGGGUCAGAAUAUCGGAAUGAGAUGGAACAACGCUCGCACCUCUGCAGGGGACUGCAGGUGUCCAGACGCCUGGGUGGGCUGCAUCAUGGAAGAAAUUGGAUUUUAUCUGCCCAGAAAGUUUUCUCGCUGCAGCGUUGACGAGUACACACAGUUCCUGCUGCAGGGGGGUGGGAGCUGCCUUUUCAACAAGCCUAAUAAGCUGUUGGAUCCUCCGGAGUGUGGGAAUGGUUUUGUGGAACCAGGAGAAGAGUGUGACUGUGGGUCGCAGGUGGAAUGCGCCCGCAGCGGAGGAGCCUGCUGCAAAAAAUGCACCCUCACCCAUGAUGCUAUGUGCAGUAAUGGACUCUGCUGCAGCAGCUGCAAGUACGAGCAGAGAGGAGUUGUGUGUCGAGGAGCCGUGAAUGACUGUGACAUCCCAGAAACCUGCACUGGAGACUCCAGCCAGUGUCCUCAUAAUGUCCACAAGCUGGACGGUUACAUUUGUGACAACAGUCAGGGACGGUGUUAUGGCGGGCGAUGCCGGACUCGUGACGGACAGUGCAAAGGACUCUGGGGCUUCAAUUCAGCGGACAGGUUUUGUUAUGAGAAGCUGAACGCUGAGGGAACGGAGAAAGGAAACUGUGGUCAGGGUCCCGGGGGGCAAGGCUGGCUGCAGUGCAACAAGCCGGAUGUUUUAUGUGGAUUCCUGUUCUGUGCCAACGCCACCACAAAGCCUAAGUUUGGAGAUCUGCAGGGUGAGGUGACCAGCUUUACCCUCUACCAUCAAAACAAGUACCUGGACUGCAGAGGUGGCCAUGCUCUUCUUGAGGACGGCUCAGACUUGGGUUAUGUGGAAGAUGGCACUCCCUGUGGGCCCAAUAUGAUGUGUUUGGAGAGACGCUGCCUCCCCGUGGCAGCCUUCAACCUCAGCACGUGCCCAGGCUCGAAGUUUGGAGGAAUCUGUUUUGACCAUGGGACCUGCAGCAACGAGGUCAAAUGCAUCUGUGACCGGGACUACACGGGGAAGGACUGCAGCGUGUUCGAUCCCAUCCCGGAGCCCACAGUCCCAACAGGCCCAGAGAAGAAAGGUAUCUCAUGUGCCUCUCUCUUUCUCUACUCGAUGUCGUUAUUGUACGGUGUUGAUGCUGUCUUCUGACGUGUGUUUUUUAGUGGUGUUGUUUCCUGUUUCUGCCCCUCCGAAUUUCCUCCUCCUCCGUACCCUUCCCCCCCCUCCUCCUCCUUCCUCUGCGCAGGUCCCAGUGGCACCAAUAUCAUAAUAGGGUCCAUCGCAGGUGCUAUUCUCCUGGCAGCUAUAGUCCUAGGGGGAACAGGAUGGGGAUUUAAGAAUAUUCGAAGAGGAAGAUCUGGAGGAGGAUAAGGUCUCCGUCUGUCUGUCUGUCCAUGUUGUUUCCACUCUCGUCUUCCUCCUUGCACUGUGUCGUGUCCACAUUGAAGAAGAGGAGAAUUUAAAAAAGAAAUAAAUAAAGAACCAAGUCUUCCAUUGCAGUCCCACAAUCUCCGGACCUCUUCAGAUUGUCGUUCCCUCCUCACUCCUGUCAGCUCCUUCCUUUUGUCCUCCCUUUGGACUCUGCCCGCCUUGGGGGCCCGUGGAGCUCCUCUCACCCCCCCAGCGGUGUCCAGGUUGCAGCUCGAGUGAGUAGGUUGCUCUCCCUGUGGGAUAAGGCCAGGGACUUCCUCCAGCACAGGACCUCUACGAAUGUGCUUCUACUCACGACGGGGACAUCAACGGCAGACCAACUUGACAAGAGACACGUCUUUCCAAUGCCUGCCUGUCUGCACACUCCAAACGCUACUUGAGCCCACAGUUUACUGCAGAACCAUCACACAGACUGAAGAAAAAAGUUGCAGGAACUGAACCCUUUUUUGUCUCAUAGGAAAGAGUCCUCAGUCUCUGAUUUGGUGAAUCCAGACAUGAGUGAUUUGAACUGUCAAAUGGGGAGAAAGUCAGACCCAAUCAGCAUGUUUUCCAAAAAGAGCCUGUGGAAAAAAACAGAUUAAAAAAUGUACUUAUUCUUAAGGCGUCCUGCUCCCCCCUCCCUCUAAAACACGUUUUCAGGGAAGUAAAGUUGGGCGUUCUGGUUUUGGGAUCAUAGAAAAAUA